rnacentral:misc_RNA from 1 species
GAACGCACAUUGCGCCCCUUGGUAUUCCGAGGGGCAUGCCUAUUCGAGCGUCAUUAUCACCCCUCAAGCUUCGGCUUGGUGUUGAGGCCUGCUGUAAAGGCACCCUCUAAAAUUAGUGGCAGUGCUGUCAGGCUCUAAGCGUAGUAAUUUCAUCGCUAUAGGGUCCUGGUGGAUACUCGUCAAAACCCCCCCAUUUUUUAAUGAUUGACCUCGGAUUAGGUAGGGAUACCCGCUGAACUUA